rnacentral:rRNA from 1 species
GAUGAACGCUAGCGGCAGGCUUAAUACAUGCAAGUCGUGGGGCAGCAUGAGUGUAGCAAUACAUUUGAUGGCGACCGGCAAACGGGUGCGGAACACGUACAGAACCCUCCUUCAAGCGGGGCAUAGCCCAGAGAAAUUUGGAUUAAUACCCCAUAAUAUAAUGAAGAGGCAUCUCUUUGUUAUUAAAGAUUUAUCACUUGAAGAUGGCUGUGCGGCUGAUUAGGUAGUUGGCGGGGUAACGGCCCACCAAGCCUGCGAUCAGUAACUGGUGUGAGAGCAGGACCAGUCACACGGGCACUGAGACACGGGCCCGACUCCUACGGGAGGCAGCAGUAAGGAAUAUUGGUCAAUGGACGCAAGUCUGAACCAGCCAUGCCGCGUGGAGGAUGAAGGUCCUCUGGAUUGUAAACUUCUUUUAUAUGGGACGAAAAAAGGCUUUUCUAAGUCGUCUGACGGUACCAUAUGAAUAAGCACCGGCUAACUCCGUGCCAGCCGCCGCUGUAAUAC